UCGGGAUAGCUCAGCUGGUAGAGCAGAGGACUGAAAAUCCUCGUGUC
rnacentral:tRNA from 12 species